rnacentral:rRNA from 1 species
AUUCCAGCUCCAAUAGCGUAUAUUAAAGUUGUUGCGGUUAAAAAGCUCGUAGUUGGAUUUCUGCUGAGGACGACCGGUCCGCCCUCUGGGUGAGUAUCUGGCUCGGCCUUGGCAUCUUCUUGGGGAACGUAACUGCACUUGACUGUGUGGUGCGGUAUCCAGGACUUUUACUUUGAGGAAAUUAGAGUGUUUCAAGCAGGCGCACGCCUUGAAUACAUUAGCAUGGAAUAAUAAGAUAGGACCUUGGUUCUAUUUUGUUGGUUUCUAGAGCUGAGGUAAUGAUUAAUAGGGAUAGUUGGGGGCAUUCAUAUUUGAUUGUCAGAGGUGAAAUUCUUGGAUUUAUGAAAGAUGAACUUAUGCGAAAGCAUUUACCAAGGAUGUUUUCAUCG